GUCUUAUCAAACUGACUAUGACUUCAGUUUCUGAACAAUGUUUGGUUUAAUUUCCUUGGACAGGUUACUUGUUCUCAGUGGAGGAUGUGAACAGUCAAAGCACUAAAGUGAGCAGCAUCUCUGGCAGAUAAGUCUGUGGAAAGGUCUGCGACAUUGCAUGUAUUCUAGUAUAUUCACAACACCUGUGCAGAAUACACAUGCGGAAAACAUUGUCUUCAUAUUAAGGCGAACAUAUCCACAUAGGAGGGGCCUGGUGUAGGUGGACCAUUUUCCCAUCAGGCUGUGCUGACAUUAAGCUUAAUAUCUGGCAAAGGCAUAUCUUUCAUGUGACACUACUGGGUACUGUAUUAUCCUCAACUUGUUUUGUCAGUAGCUAUUUUUACAGCCACUAUUUUUCCAACCAUUAAAUUCAGGGUGUUAUCUCCCAUACAGGACAAAUAUAUAAUUUAUUCUCAAGUAAUGCAUGAGUUUGCAUUUUAACAGUAUCAAUUUUGUAACCCUGAAAUUGCUUGAUUUAUAGUUUAAAUAAAUCCCUUUGCAUUUAGCUAAAUGCAC